GGGGAAUUUUCCGCAAUGGGCGAAAGCCUGACGGAGCAACGCCGCGUGAGGGAUGAAGGCCUCUGGGCUGUAAACCUCUUUUAUCAAGGAAGAAGAUCUGACGGUACUUGAUGAAUAAGCCACGGCUAAUUCCGUGCCAGCAGCCGCGGUAAUACGGGAGUGGCAAGCGUUAUCCGGAAUUAUUGGGCGUAAAGCGUCCGCAGGCGGCCCUUCAAGUCUGCUGUUAAAAAGUGGAGCUUAACUCCAUCAUGGCAGUGGAAACUGUUGGGCUUGAGUGUGGUAGGGGCAGAGGGAAUUCCCGGUGUAGCGGUGAAAUGCGUAGAUAUCGGGAAGAACACCAGUGGCGAAGGCGCUCUGCUGGGCCAUCACUGACGCUCAUGGACGAAAGCCAGGG
rnacentral:rRNA from 1 species